GCCGUCGAAGCCCCGAAGGUAGGGCGCCUGGCUUCCAACCAGGAGGUUGCGGGUUCGAUCCCCGUCGCCGGCU
rnacentral:tRNA from 1 species